rnacentral:rRNA from 1 species
UACGAAGGGACCUAGCGUAGUUCGGAAUUACUGGGCUUAAAGAGUUCGUAGGUGGUUGAAAAAGUUGGUGGUGAAAUCCCAGAGCUUAACUCUGGAACUGCCAUCAAAACUUUUCAGCUAGAGUAUGAUAGAGGAAAGCAGAAUUUCUAGUGUAGAGGUGAAAUUCGUAGAUAUUAGAAAGAAUACCAACUGCGAAGGCAGCUUUCUGGAUCAUUACUGACACUGAGGAACGAAAGCAUGGGUAGCGAAGAGG